AUGGAAGGCCCCUUCCCGUUGCUCGUGCAUGAUCUUGGGAACCGUACCGAUGACUGCCAGACGCGGUUCAGCAUCUCUAACCAGGCCGUGAGCACCGCGGCCAUCCAUGAACUCAAGGACUACAGGUGCUUCGAGUCUCCACAGGGCUGGGUGCUCGCGCUGGAUCCUGCUUCCCUGCACACGUUCCUGUGGCGUCCUCAGGACGGACAGAGGAUCAGCCUUCCAUCCCCAAAACACGAAUUUCCCAGGAGGUGCAAGUGCCUGCUUUCUGACAAGACUAGCUCGACAUCCUCUUGCACUGUUCUGGUCCUCGAUCUUGACCUGCCUAAUCUGUUGGCGUGCCGGAUCGGAGGAAGCCAGUGGGACUCUUACAACUACGAGCUCACCAUAUUCCUCGCGGAUGACAAGCCCCGGGAGAUACAUAUGGCCAAACUUAAAGGCAUUGCUGCUGUUGGGGGCAAGGUCUACUAUACACGUUCACGGGACACGCCCUCGGAGUAG
rnacentral:rRNA from 1 species